AUGGCACCGUCGUUUCGACUUGCGUCCACUUACACCUGCCGCAGACGCAGCCUUGGAUUCCCAAACACAAAGUGGGGAGCAGAUUUAAAGGAAGCCAGGGCGUACAGAAGCUCCUGUUCAGGUGCUCCCUCCUGGAUACCGGCCCACGGGAGGGCUCCCACAGGAUACAGUGGACCCCCGGGAACUCGGCGCGAGCUUCAGCGGCCAACUCACGUCCACACAGCGCCAAACCCGGGGCCGCACAACUCUCCGGGAGCAGCCAUGCCUGGGGUCGGCCCGGAGCGCGCGGCUGGCUUCACAGCAGCCCAGAUCCCCCACUCGGACCUCCAGGGCCCAGCGGAGUCAGCGCGCGUAUCCGCACCGCUACCCGCGCAGCCCCGCACCACCCACACCCCGACACGCCAACCGGGCCCGGCGGGACACGCGGCGACCGGGGCGACCCGCACCCGCACCCGCUUAGCCCCGCACCACCCACACCCCGACACGCCAACCGGGCCCGGCGGGACACGCGGCGACCCGGGCGACCCGCACCCGUACCCGCACAGCCCCGCACCACUCACAACCCAACACACCAACCGGGCCGGUGGGACACGCAGCGACCCGGCAACCCGCACCCGCACAGUCCCGCACCACUCACACCCCGACACGCCAACCGGGCCCGGCGGGACACGCGGCGACCCGGGCGACCAGCACCACCCACAAGCCGACACGCCAACCGGGCCCGGCGGGACACGCGACGACCCGGCAGCCCGCACCCACGCAGUCCCGCACCACCCACAACCCGACACGCCAACCGGGCCCGGCGGGACACGCGGCGACCCGGCAACCCGCACCUGUACCCGCGCAGCCCCGCACCACCCACAACCCGACAUGCCAACCGGGCCCGGCGGGACACGCGACGACCCGGGCGACCCGCACCCGCACAGUCCCGCACCACCCACAACCCGACACGCCAACCGGGCCCGGCGGGACACGCGGCGACCCGGGAGUCCCGCACCACCCACAACCCGACACGCCAACCGGGCUCGGCGGGACACGCGACGACCCGGCAGCCCGCACCCAUACCCACGCAGCCCCGCACCACCCACACCCCGACACGCCAACCGGGCCCGGCGGGACACGCGACGACCCGGGCGACGGCGCGGGAAAGUUCGAGGCCCGUCCCCACGCACAACCCAAGCGAAAACGACGGCGACGGCCAAACCUCACCGGGCAGCAGGGACGCCGCGGGCGACCCCAGGAAGCCUCCAGCGGGGGACGUGCGGGCGCGACGGCGGCGGACGGAGCAAGGGUCAGGCAAACAACAUGGAGGGCAGCAGCAACUUCACAAAAAAAGAUGAGCCAGAUGAAUAA
ensembl:lncRNA